ACAUCCGUGAACUCGCCCAGGACUGGAAGG
rnacentral:SRP_RNA from 12 species